UACGAAGGGUGCAAGCGUUAAUCGGAAUUACUGGGCGUAAAGGGUGCGUAGGCGGUUAUUUAAGUCUGGCGUGAAAUCCCCGGGCUCAACCUGGGAAUGGCGGUGGAUACUGGAUAGCUAGAGUGUGUCAGAGGAUGGUGGAAUUCCCGGUGUAGCGGUGAAAUGCGUAGAGAUCGGGAGGAACAUCAGUGGCGAAGGCGGCCAUCUGGGACAACACUGACGCUGAAGCACGAAAGCGUGGGGAGCAAACAGG
rnacentral:rRNA from 1 species